rnacentral:rRNA from 1 species
GUCGGGUGUGUAAGCGUAGCGAUACGUUGAGCUAACCGAUACUAAUGAACCGUGAGGCUUAACCUUACAACGCCGAAG